rnacentral:rRNA from 1 species
AGUAAAUAGAUACCCUGGUAGUCCACGCCGUAAACGAUGUCGACUUGGAGGUUGUGCCCUUGAGGCGUGGCUUCCGGAGCUAAACGCGUUAAGUCGACCGCCUGGGGAGUACGGCCGCAAGGUUAAAACUCAAAUGAAUUGACGGGGGCCCGCACAAGCGGUGGAGCAUGUGGUUUAAUUCGAUGCAACGCGAAGAACCUUACCUACUCUUGACAUCCAGAGAACUUAGCAGAGAUGCUUUGGUGCCUUCGGGAACUCUGAGACAGGUGCUGCAUGGCUGUCGUCAGCUCGUGUUGUGAAAUGUUGGGUUAAGUCCCGCAACGAGCGCAACCCUUAUCCUUUGUUGCCAGCGGUUAGGCCGGGAACUCAAAGGAGACUGCCAGUGAUAAACCUGGAGGAAGGUGGGGAUGGCGUCAAGUCAUCAUGGCCCUUACGAGUAGGGCUACACACGUGCUACAAUGGCGCAUACAAAGAGAAGCGACCUCGCGAGAGCAAGCGGACCUCAUAAAGUGCGUCGUAGUCCGG